UACGUAGGGGGCGAGCGUUGUCCGGAAUGACUGGGCGUAAAGGGCGUGUAGGCGGUCUGAUAAGUCUGGAGUGAAAGUCCUGUUUUCAAGAUGGGAAUUGCUUUGGAUACUGUCGGACUUGAGUGCGGAAGAGGUAAGUGGAAUUCCCAGUGUAGCGGUGAAAUGCGUAGAGAUUGGGAGGAACACCAGUGGCGAAGGCGACUUACUGGGCCGUAACUGACGCUGAGGCGCGAAAGCGUGGGGAGCGAAC
rnacentral:rRNA from 1 species